rnacentral:rRNA from 1 species
GAUGAACGCUGACAGAAUGCUUAACACAUGCAGGUCCACUUGAAUUUGGGUUUUUAACUUAGGUUUGGGUGGCGGACGGGUGAGUAACGCGUAAAGAACUUGCCUCACAGCUAGGGACAACAUUUGGAAACGAAUGCUAAUACCUAAUAUUAUGAUAAUAGGGCAUCCUAUAAUUAUGAAAGCUAUAAGCGCUGUGAGAGAGCUUUGCGUCCCAUUAGCUAGUUGGAGAGGUAACGGCUCACCAAGGCGAUGAUGGGUAGCCGGCCUGAGAGGGUGAUCGGCCACAAGGGGACUGAGACACGGCCCUUACUCCUACGGGAGGCAGCAGUGGGGAAUAUUGGACAAUGGACCGAGAGUCUGAUCCAGCAAUUCUGUGUGCACGAUGAAGUUUUUCGGAAUGUAAAGUGCUUUCAGUUGGGAAGAAACAAAUGACGGUACCAACAGAAGAAGUGACGGCUAAAUACGUG